rnacentral:rRNA from 1 species
AAGCGGCAACAGCUCAAAUUUGAAAUCUGGCUUCGGCCCGAGUUGUAAUUUGCAGAGGAUGUUUAUGGUGCGGUACUUUCCGAGUUCCCUGGAACGGGACGCCACAGAGGGUGAGAGCCCCGUCUGGAUGGAUACCAAACCUGUGUUAAACUCCUUCAACGAGUCGAGUAGUUUGGGAAUGCUGCUCUAAAUGGGAGGUAAAUCUCUUCUAAAGCUAAAUAUAGGCCAGAGACCGAUAGCGCACAAGUAGAGUGAUCGAAAGAUGAAAAGCACCUUGAAAAGGGGGUUAAACAGUACGUGAAAUUGUUGAAAGGGAAGCGUUUAUGACCAGACUUGUGUCGUGUGGCUCAUCCGAGGUUCUCCCCGGUGCACUCCACGCGGCUCAGGCCAACAUCGGUUUCUGUCGGGGGAUAAGAACAGUAGGAACGUAGCUCUCCCUCGGGAGAGUGUUAUAGCCUAUUGUACGAUACUCUGACGGGGACCGAGGACCG